rnacentral:sRNA from 1 species
AUCUCGAUGUAAGUUUCGACUGGGGGCGU